AACCCGGGACCUCUGUUCUGUGUUGUAGCCUUCACCAUGGAGAAGCUGAGUGCAGCAAACAACCACUUCGCCUUAGACCUGUUCCGUGCCUUGAAUGAAGACAAUCCGACUGGAAACAUCUUCAUCUCUCCCUUCAGCAUUUCAUCAGUGAUGGCCAUGAUCUUUCUAGGGACCAGAGGCAACACUGCAGCACAACUAUCCAAGACUUUGCAUUUCAAUACGGUUGAGGAGAUUCAUUCAAGAUUUCAGAGUCUGCAUGCUGAUAUCAACAAAAGUGGAGCACCCUACAUUCUGAAACUUGCUAAUAGAUUAUAUGGAGAGAAAACCUAUAAUUUCCUCACUGAGUUCUUAGAUUCAACUCAGAAAAUGUAUGGUGCUGAACUGGCCAGUGUAGAUUUUCAGAAUGCCUAUGAAGAUGCAAGGAAAACCAUAAACCAGUGGGUCAAAGGACAGACAGAAGGGAAAAUUCCAGAACUGUUGGCUGAAGGUGUGGUUGAUAGCAUGACUAAACUUGUGUUAGUGAAUGCCAUCUAUUUCAAGGGAAACUGGCAGAAUCGAUUCACGAAAAAAGCCACAGCCAAUGCACCAUUCAGAUUGAAUAAGAAAGACACAAAAACAGUGAAAAUGAUGUAUCAGGAGAAAGCAUUUCCAUUUGGCUACAUCGAGGACCUUAAGACCCGUGUGCUCGAACUGCCUUACCAGGGCAAGGAGCUGAGCAUGCUCAUUCUGCUGCCCGAGCACCUCUUCUUUUCCUCCUCAUUCUAAUUUCAGAUUGAGGAACAACUGACUUUGGAAAAACUGCAGGAGUGGACCAAGCAUUUGAAAGUCACUGAAGUCAAUGUUGGCUUACCCCGGUUCAAACUGGAAGACAGCUACGUCCUGAACAACCACCUCACCCGCCUGGGUGUGGAGGACCUGUUUAAUAGCACCAAGGCUGAUCUGUCUGGCAUGUCAGGAGCCAGAGGUCUUUUUGUAUCAAAAAUUGUCCACAAGUCCUUUGUGGAAGUGAAUGAAAAGGGUACAGAGGCAGCGGCUGCAACAGCAGGGGUGGUUGCCUUCUGUAGCUCGAUGUCAGGGAAAACUUUCAUUGCCGACCAUCCGUUCCUUUUCUUUAUUCGGCACAAUCCCUCAGCCAGCAUCCUGUUCAUGGGCAGAUAUUCUUCCCCUUAGAAGAAAGAGACUGUGUCGA